rnacentral:ncRNA from 1 species
GUUUUCGGUUCCGGAAAUACAGAUUAAAAGGGAAUCGGGUGUAAAUCCCGGACAGUCCCGCUGCUGUGAAGCUCCGUUCAACAUUCUGAGAAUUACUUAUUGCCACUGACGUAUGUCGGGAAGGUUUCAGGAUGGGAGUCAGUCAGAAGACCUGCCGUUCGUUAAA